GACGCACGCUGGCGGCGUGCCUAAUACAUGCAAGUCGAACGCAGUGGGGACGGGUGAGUAACACGUGGGUAACCUCCCAUCAGAGGGGAUAACACUUGGAAACAGGUGCUAAACCGAUACUGAUGGAUGGACCCGCGGUGCAUGAGCUAGUUGGUGAGGUAACGGCUCACCAAGGCCACGAUGCAUAGCCGACGUGAGAGGGGGAUGGGCCACGCUGGGACUGAGACACGGCCCAGACUCCUGCGGGAGUCAGCAGUAGGGAAUCUUCGGCAAUGGACGAAAGUCUUACCGAGCAGCGCCGCGUGAGUGAAGAAGGUGUUCGGAUCGUAAAACUCUGUUGUUAGAGAAGCGGUAUCUAACCAGAAAGCCACGGCUAACUACGUGCCAGCCGCCGCGGUAAUAC
rnacentral:rRNA from 1 species